rnacentral:rRNA from 1 species
GGAUACCUCCAUUCUUGGACUGCUGCUCGCUGAUCUUCUCUGAUCUUGGAAGCUGAACCAGGUCAAGCCUGGAAAUACUUGGAUGGGAGGCUUUCGAGAAGUUCCAGACACUGUAGGCU